GCCGAUUUUGACCAAUCGGUGGCCGAUUUUCGUCGAACCAAAACUGGAAAAUCAGCUCAGAAAUCGGUGGCCGAUUUUGGCAAAUCAGGGGCCGAUUUUGGACUUCACAGCAGUUCAAAAAUCAGCUUAACAAUGCAUUUUUCACCCAAAAAUCACUCUUAAAUCACUAGAUUCAAAUACAAGGCUCCCAAAUUAAAUCAAACAUUACCCAUACUCAUAACAC
rnacentral:lncRNA from 1 species